rnacentral:rRNA from 1 species
CACUCCUGCGGGAGGCAGCAGUGGGGAAUAUUGGACAAUGGGCGCAAGCCUGAUCCAGCCAUGCCGCGUGAGUGAUGAAGGCCCUAGGGUUGUAAAGCUCUUUCACCGGUGAAGAUAAUGACGGUAACCGGAGAAGAAGCCCCGGCUAACUUCGUGCCAGCAGCCGCGGUAAUACGAAGGGGGCUAGCGUUGUUCGGAUUUACUGGGCGUAAAGCGCACGUAGGCGGACUAUUAAGUCAGGGGUGAAAUCCCGGGGCUCAACCCCGGAACUGCCUUUGAUACUGGUAGUCUUGAGUUCGAGAGAGGUGAGUGGAAUUCCGAGUGUAGAGGUGAAAUUCGUAGAUAUUCGGAGGAACACCAGUGGCGAAGGCGGCUCACUGGCUCGAUACUGACGCUGAGGUGCGAAAGCGUGGGGAGCAAACAGGAUUAGAUACCCUAGUAGUCCCAU